UCUCCGCCAGCUCGCAGCGUCCAGCCAGCUCUGAGAGUGACUUUGGGUUUCCAGGUCGUCGGGUCGGAUGCCUUACAUCAAAUCAGAAGAAUGAGAUAUCGACGGGGAAAUGCCUGUGGCCACUACAGGGAAGAGAAGAGAGAGGCAGAAGUAGGCAGGGAGUCUUCAGGUGACAUUCAGAGAAUAUUUUUAUAACAAACUAAGAAGGUGAAGAAAGGAAAAAGGAAAUGAAAGAAAGCAACGCUGAUUGCCACAUGUCAUUAGGAGAACUCCUACGGAUGAAUACUUAAAGAACACUGAAUCACCCAGCAAGGAGAGGCAAGCACUCUAAGCCAAGUCAUCAAGGCAGAUGCCCACCCUCAGCAGACAGGGGAUGAACACCUAGGCCCAGGGUGCCAAGACUCCCAGAAGUGGUGCUCUCGCUAACCCCGCCUGCACUGAUCUGAGUUUCUGGUGACUGGAUGUUUGGUUAUGAGGUUGCUGAGGUGAAACACGGCGCCUGAAAACAGUGUUGUAAGUUAAUGUUGCCCUGGAAGGAAAGAUGGAAGGCAGAGGAAGAAAAGAUCAAAUCAUAGGGGGGAUCAGAGUCUUAAAAAUAAUGGCAUGGACAGAUGAAGCUGUCACCGUGUGGCAAAGUCUUGGAGCAGUGACCUCAGUCUUUGGGCAGUGAUCACCAGGGAGACCAACAUUCCGUGACGCGUCCGUGAUCCUUGGUGGAUCAAGCCUUUACUGCAAGGCCACAUGUUCAGAGAAGCGCAUGUGUUUACUCUCCCCAAAAGGACAGGCUGUCAUCUACGCAGCGAAUGCACGUUCUUUGUGGAGAGGGAGAAACGCCACUCAGAGCGCACCAUUAAGCUGCAAAUGAAGCUCUAAGGGGGAGAAAUGUCCUGUUUAUGAUUCCAGGCCAACCAUGGCCCAACAUGGAGAUUUCACCUGCCUCUACAGGGAGUAGGCGUUUCUUUUGGAACAACACACACAUAGGGGAAAAUAUAUGAAGACCUCCAAGGAAGGCCUCUUGCUCUCGGCUGCCAACCAGCUUCACCUGGGGAUUCUGGAACCCCCUGGCUGCUCGGGCUGCACCACGGCAGGCUGAUUCAGUCAGAGCCUCCGUAUCACCAAACAUCAGUCAUCUUCACAGCUUCCAAGUGACUUCAAUGUCCUCGCGGGCUUGGGGGUGGGGGGUGCUGUGUGAGCGCCCCAGGAAGAUGGGGCAGCCCAUCCCAUCAGGCUCCUCAAGUGGAAAACAAGCAGGAAGGUUUCACAUCUGUAGCCUGUUACUCAAUCAUCUCAUCUCUUAAGAGACACAAUAACAAGAGUUUUUGAUUUGGCAAGAGGUUGUUAUGGCCUCUGAAGACAUAUUAAGAACAUUCCACUAUAUUUCCUAAUUCCUUUGCCUCGGCUUGAUUUCAAACACGGUCCGGUUACUUUACCCUAAAUCUCAUGGCACACUGGUGCCUGAGCUGAACCUGCUGCUCCAUAGGCCGUGGUUUCCUUUCUGAACCUUCCAGAACAACCUUCCACAACUACCACAACUACCACAACGACCGCUGUGGCAUGACGUCAGUAGGUGUAUCAGGACACGUUGUCCUCCCACGAUCUCUGAUUGUCUCAUUGAAGAACAACACAAUGACCGGGCAAGAGUUUUAUCGGGUAGGGUCUUCAUAGCCGCAAGUAUUCAACAAGGCCUACUGUGUGCAAGUCAGGCUAUUAGGUGCACAUAAAAAGCAUUGGACUUGGGACAAGACUUCCUCUUAAGUAGGCUACACUGUCACGGGGGGACUACAAACCACCAAUGUCAACAUUCUCUGCCCAUACACUAGGUCACGUCAGAAAUUGAUUCAUUAUCUAUAAAAUUUGCCUUUCAAAUGCUUCCUGUCUUGUUUCUCAGUGUUCACUGUCACUAAAUCUAGGGUAUAA